AGGGGCUUGCUCCUUAAUUUAGUGGCGCACGGGUGAGUAACGCGUGGAUAACCUGCCCUGGUAUCUGGGAUAACAUCUCGAAAGGGGUGCUAAUACCGGAUAAGCCCACGAGCUCUUCGGAGCUUGCGGGAAAAGGUGGCCUCUGAAUAUGCUACUGUAUCAGGAUGGGUCCGCGUCCCAUUAGCUAGUUGGUAGGGUAAUGGCCUACCAAGGCGACGAUGGGUAGCUGGUCUGAGAGGAUGAUCAGCCACACUGGAACUGAGACACGGUCCAGACUCCUACGGGAGGCAGCAGUGGGGAAUUUUGCGCAAUGGGGGAAACCCUGACGCAGCAACGCCGCGUGAGUGAUGAAGGCCUUCGGGUCGUAAAGCUCUGUCAGAGGGAAAGAAGUGCAGUGGUGCUAAUACCGCCAUUGCUUGACGGUACCCUCAAAGGAAGCACCGGCUAACUCCGUGCCAGCAGCCGCGGUAA
rnacentral:rRNA from 1 species